UACGUAGGGGGCUAGCGUUAUCCGGAAUUACUGGGCGUAAAGGGUGCGUAGGUGGUUUCUUAAGUCAGAGGUGAAAGGUUACGGCUCAACCGUAGUAAGCCUUUGAAACUGGGAAACUUGAGUGCAGGAGAGGAGAGUGGAAUUCCUAGUGUAGCGGUGAAAUGCGUAGAUAUUAGGAGGAACACCAGUUGCGAAGGCGGCUCUCUGGACUGUAACUGACACUGAGGCACGAAAGCGUGGGGAGCAAACAGG
rnacentral:rRNA from 2 species